AUCAUCUGGGGUUCUUGUUAAAAUCCAGAUUGUGAUUCAGUAGGUCUGGAGUGGGGCCUGAGAUUCUGCAUUUCUGACAAGUUCCCGGGUGAUGC
rnacentral:miRNA from 1 species